rnacentral:rRNA from 1 species
GUGGGGAAUAUUGGACAAUGGGCGCAAGCCUGAUCCAGCCAUGCCGCGUGAGUGAUGAAGGCCUUAGGGUUGUAAAGCUCUUUCAGUGGGGACGAUAAUGACGGUACCCACAGAAGAAGCCCCGGCUAACUUCGUGCCAGCAGCCGCGGUAAUACGAAGGGGGCUAGUGUUGUUCGGAUUUACUGGGCGUAAAGCGCACGUAGGCGGAUCGUUAAGUCGGGGGUGAAAUCCUGGAGCUCAACUCCAGAACUGCCUUCGAUACUGGCGGUCUUGAGUCCGGAAGAGGUGAGUGGAACUCCUAGUGUAGAGGUGGAAUUCGUAGAUAUUAGGAAGAACACCAGUGGCGAAGGCGGCUCACUGGUCCGGUACUGACGCUGAGGUGCGAAAGCGUGGGGAGCAAACAGGAUUAGAUACCCUUGUAGUCC